CUUCAUCCUCGUGUAAAAACUUUACAUCCUAAUGUUCAUGGAGGUAUUCUUGCAAGAAGAGAUCAAGAGUCUCACAUGGAAGCCUUGAAUAACCUUGGAAUUGGUACAUUUGAUGUGGUAGUUGUGAACUUAUAUCCCUUCUAUAACAAGGUUUCCGCUUCUACUGGGAUUUCUUUUGAAGAUGGAAUUGAGAACAUAUUGGUGGACCUGCCAUGAUAAGAGCAGCCGCCAAGAAUCAUCAGGAUGUUUUGGUUGUAGUUGACUCCAGUGAUUACCCCGAACUCCUAGAGUAUCUCAAAGAGGAAGGAACGACGAGCAAUUUCGAAGAAGGCUAGCCUGGAAGGCUUUUCAGCAUGUCGCUUCUUAUGAUUCUGCUGUUUCAGAAUGGUUGUGGAAGCAGACUGAGGGAGAUAAAUUUCCUCCCAGUCUGACUGUACCUUUGUCCCUCAAGAGUUCGCUUCGGUAUGGUGAAAACCCUCAUCAGAAGGCGGCAUUUUAUGUUGAUAAGUCCCUUGCAGAAGUCAAUGCUGGUGGCAUCGCAACUUCUGUUCAACACCAUG